CAUGUCUUAAAUGCUCUCCCCAAGUCUCACUAUAGAUCGCAAUGUCAUCCAGGUAUGCGCAUGCGAAUUCCUGGAAGCCAUCAAGGAGACGAUCCACUAAGCGCUGAAAUGUAGCUGGGGCGUUCUUCAUCCCGAAUGGCAUGACCUUAAACUGGUACAAGCCAAACGGGGUGACAAACGCCGACUUAGGGAUAGCGUCCUUGGCCAGGGGAAUCUGCCAGUACCCUUUGCACAGAUCGAUGGUGGUCAGAUAGCGU